rfam:Pyrenophora teres f. teres 0-1 contig_002860, whole genome shotgun sequence.
GCCUUCGGGCAAUUGGUCAAUUGAAACGAUACAGAGAAGAUUAGCAUGGCCCCUGCACUAAGGAUGACACGCUCAGUUCGUGGACCCAAAUUUCCAUCUUU